rnacentral:lncRNA from 1 species
GGGAAUUUCAAUGACCAUGAGUAUCCAGUGAAAGCUGUUUACACACAUAUAUAUAGUCAGUUCUAUAAUGUAAAAUAAAAUAUGCAUGCACUUAAUAACUAUAUAACUCACUCGAAGUUGAAGGGGAAGAGUAUUUUUUGUUUUUCUUUUUGGUUCACAAAGAACCUCAUAAGAUUGGUGCAGACUUCUGUCUCAUGAUCUGCUGUCCACACUGCCUGCGGAGCCUUGAAAACAAUAUAAGGGUCAACGAACCCAAUACUAUUGUCAUUUCUCAUUCUGAGAUCUCUCAUUUGGUGCCUGCAUAUAUACAUACAAAUCCUAAGUGUGUAAGGAUUAUAUACAUGUAAUUAAAGAAGUUAGAAGUAUAAUAAAAAGAAAAAAAAUACUUACAGACAAAAGCAGGUGACAAGAGAUUUGUCA